rnacentral:rRNA from 1 species
CAGUCGCCGCGGUAAUACGUAGGUGGCAAGCGUUGUCCGGAAUUAUUGGGCGUAAAGCGCGCGCAGGCGGAUCGGUCAGUCUGUCUUAAAAGUUCGGGGCUUAACCCCGUGAUGGGAUGGAAACUGCCAAUCUAGAGUAUCGGAGAGGAAAGUGGAAUUCCUAGUGUAGCGGUGAAAUGCGUAGAUAUUAGGAAGAACACCAGUGGCGAAGGCGACUUUCUGGACGAAAACUGACGCUGAGGCGCGAAAGCCAGGGGAGCGAACGGGAUUAGAUACCCCAGUAGUCCCUGUCUCUUAUACA